UUCCAGACUCCUACGGGAGGCAGCAGUGGGGAAUAUUGGGCAAUGGACGCAAGUUUGACCCAGCAACGCCGCGUGAAGGAAGAAGGCUUUCGGGUUGUAAACUUCUUUUAAGGGGGAAGAGCAGAAGACGGUACCCCUUGAAUAAGCCACGGCUAACUACGUGCCAGCAGCCGCGGUAAUACGUAGGGGGCAAGCGUUAUCCGGAUUUACUGGGUGUAAAGGGAGCGUAGACGGCGAUGCAAGUCAGAAGUGAAAGCCCGCGGCUCAACUGCGGGACUGCUUUUGAAACUGUAUAGCUUGAGUGCAGGAGAGGUAAGCGGAAUUCCUAGUGUAGCGGUGAAAUGCGUAGAUAUUAGGAGGAACACCAGUGGCGAAGGCGGCUUACUGGACUGUAACUGACGUUGAGGCUCGAAAGCGUGGGGAGCAAACAGGAUUAGAUACCCUGGUAC
rnacentral:rRNA from 1 species